rnacentral:rRNA from 1 species
GAUGAACGCUAGCGGCAGGCUUAACACAUGCAAGUCGAGGGGUAGAGGAAGCUUGCUUCCUUGAGACCGGCGCACGGGUGCGUAACGCGUAUGCAAUCUACCUUAUACAGGGGAUAGCCCAGAGAAAUUUGGAUUAAUACCCCAUAGUAUAAUUGAAUGGCAUCAUUUAAUUAUUAAAGUUCCAACGGUAUAAGAUGAGCAUGCGUCCAUUAGCUAGUUGGUGUGGUAACGGCACACCAAGGCGACGAUGGGUAGGGGUCCUGAGAGGGAGAUCCCCCACACUGGUACUGAGACACGGACCAGACUCCUACGGGAGGCAGCAGUGAGGAAUAUUGGUCAAUGGGCGCAAGCCUGAACCAGCCAUGCCGCGUGCAGGAUGACGGUCCUAUGGAUUGUAAACUGCUUUUGUACAGGAAGAAACACUCCCUCGUGAGGGAGCUUGACGGUACUGUAAGAAUAAGGAUCGGCUAACUCCGUGCCAGCAGCCGCGGUAAU